UGUAGGCGAAGCUAGGCAGUGAGGCAGGCGGGCGGGGCUGCGGGGCUCCAGGUGCGUGCCGGAAGGGGCAGGUUUUCGGUGCGCGGUUCCCCGGUAGCCUGUGUGCGCACGGUUGGCGCCGGAAGUCAGACCUCAAGGGAAGUUUCGUUUUCUCGCAGUGCAAGGCCUUUAACGGAAUGAUCAGCCCUCCUUGUCCUUCGAUUGAACCAGACUCCAUUUGAGCGUUACGGUGGAUAUUUGCAGGAGGAGAGAGAAGAGGAAGAAACAGUAUUGCUUCCUGCCGUGUUAAGUGUGGGACCUAGAGGCCGAAUACCGAAUCUGAACCGCAAUCUCCCCAACCCCUGCCCGGUGCUCUCCCUUCCCCCACUCUGUCCCUUUACCCUCGCGUCCUAGGCUCUCCCUAUUAGAUCCCCACCGCACCACAGCCCGGCGUUCUCUCUCCCAUGCCCUACUAACCGGUUCCUCAAGUGCGAAAGCAGUCACCUCGUAAUAAACCACGUCCCCAAGUGUUGUUCGGUUAGAUGA